AGGUAGGAAAAGGGUAGAGGGGUCUCAGAGGUAGGAAAGGGGGAGAACUCUGUGGCCCCUCUGCCCCUAUUCUACCUCUGAGACCCCUCUACCCUUUUCCUAGCU
rnacentral:miRNA from 1 species